AUUGAACGCUGGCGGCAGGCCUAACAAAUGCAAGUCGAGCGAGCGGCGGACGGGUGAGUAAUGUCUGGGAAACUGCCUGAUGGAGGGGGAUAACUACUGGAAACGGUAGCUAAUACCGCAUACCAUCAGAUGUGCCCAGAUGGGAUUAGCUGGUAGGUGGGGUAACGACUCACCGAGGCAACGAUCCCUAGCUGGUCUGGGAGGAGGACCAGCCACACUGGAACUGAUACACUGUCCAGCCUCCUACGGGAGUCAGCAGUGGGGAAUAUUGCACAAUGGGCGCAAGCCUGAUGCAGCCAUGCCGCGUGUGUGAAGAAGUCCUUCGGGUUGUAAAGCACUUUCAGCGGGGAGGCGUUACCCGCAGAAGAAGCACCGGCUAACUCCGUGCCAGCAGCCGCGGUAAUAC
rnacentral:rRNA from 1 species